UACAGAGGGGGCAAGCGUUGUCCGGAUUUACUAGGCGUAAAGAGCGCGCAGGCGGUCGUUCAAGUCGCGUGUGAAAGCCCCCGGCUCAACUGGGGAGGGUCACGCGAUACUGAUCGACUCGAAGGCAGGAGAGGGUAGUGGAAUUCCCGGUGUAGUGGUGAAAUGCGUAGAUAUCGGGAGGAACACCAGUGGCGAAGGCGACUACCUGGCCUGUUCUUGACGCUGAGGCGCGAAAGCUAGGGGAGCAAACGGG
rnacentral:rRNA from 1 species